AUCCUGUUGGUGUAGUGGUUAAGAGUUUGGCUGCUAACCAAACGGUUGGUAGUUCAAAUCUACCAGGCGAUC
rnacentral:tRNA from 1 species